rnacentral:rRNA from 1 species
GACGAACGCUGGCGGCGUGCUUAACACAUGCAAGUCGAACGGAAAGGCCCUGCUUUUGUGGGGUGCUCGAGUGGCGAACGGGUGAGUAACACGUGAGUAACCUGCCCUUGACUUUGGGAUAACUUCAGGAAACUGGGGCUAAUACCGGAUAGGAGCUCCUGCUGCAUGGUGGGGGUUGGAAAGUUUCGGCGGUUGGGGAUGGACGCGCGGGUUAUGAGCUUGUUGGUGGGGGAGUGGCUUACCAAGGCAUUGGCGGGUAGGCGGCCCGAGAGGGUGACCGGCGACAAUGGGACUGAGAGACGGCCCAGACGCCUACGGGAGGCAGCAGUGGGGAAUAUUGCCCAAUGGGCGGAAGCCUGAGGCAGCAACGCCGCGUGCGUGAUGACGGCCUUCUGGGUGUAAACCGCUUUCGCCUGUGACGAAGCGGUAGUGACGGUAAUGGGUAAAGAAGCACCGGCUAACUACGUG